AACGAACGCUGGCGGCAGGCCUAACACAUGCAAGUCGAACGCCGUAGCAAUACGGAGUGGCAGACGGGUGAGUAACGCGUGGGAACAUGCCCCUCGGUUCGGAAUAACUCAGGGAAACUUGAGCUAAUACCGGAUACGUCCGAUGUUUUAAUCGACCUUGGAGAAAGAUUUAUCGCCGGAGGAUUGGCCCGCGUCUGAUUAGCUUGUUGGUGAGGUAAUGGCUCACCAAGGCGACGAUCAGUAGCUGGUCUGAGAGGAUGAUCAGCACAUUGGGACUGAGACACGGCCCAAACUCCUACGGGAGGCAGCAGUGGGGAAUAUUGGACAAUGGGCGAAAGCCUGAUCCAGCCAUGCCGCGUGAGUGAUGAAGG
rnacentral:rRNA from 1 species